GAGGCCAUUGCCAGGUCAAUUAUGUAAUCUGAUGGCACUGUGAAUUGGUAACUAUUAACUCUCUCCUACCUCUAGACAGUGGCCUAAGAAACAAAAGCCAGUUUGGGGAUGGAUUCUGUCAAUGCUACUCAAAGAUCACACCACCAUCACCAACUGACCCUCAGAAUCUGAGAAGUAAAGUACUCUCUCCAGGACUCUCAGGCUCCUGGUGGAGAAGAUUGGAAGAAGCGACACUGAGAAUAAGGAAACAGAAGAGUGUAUGGCUUUUAUGCAUUUAGCACUAUGGCACAGCUAGUGUGAGCAGCCUCUCACCAUGGUGGCUCUGAGGAGGCAGAAGGAUCAUUUAUUGGAGCUGUGAUCCUCAUUAUCUCAAGUAGUUAGGAAGCAAGUAUGAGCCACCACCCCCAGCUGAGGGUGUUUUGAGGAUCAAGUGACAAACACAUAAAAAGACACAAUAGGGUCUGUAAUGAAACCAGGAAAUAGGCGAUCCAGCUGUGAGAAUGCCAACACGAUGGUACUGGCAGACUAAGAAGGCAAAGGAUUCAGGUCACAUCCCCCAGCUGAAAAAUGGAAAGCACAUGGUACUAAGUUCUGAGGGUCUUGUGAAGAUUAAAGAGGUCAUUGAGGAGGAUGCAUUCCAAACAGUAUUGAAAUGUUUGCUUCUUCUGAGAAGAGGCAUGAGUGGUGCGAGGAGCUGCUCUAGAUACUGCCUCCAUCUGUGUUGGUGGGAAGAUCCAGGUGAGGUCAGAAGAUGCCUGCUCAGUGGACCUUUGGCCAUCUUCACAACAUCAGAGAGGGCCCCAGGCAGGUGGCCUCUGAACCUACCCCCAGGAAAACGAGUAAGAAGCCUUACUCUGGGCAGUGUUCCCUUCACCAGCUACAGCAGGGACAAAGACGACAGACAGCCUUUAACCACCCCAAGGAUGUGCAGUAAACAAAAUGAUGUAUGGACACAUUCUUAGGAGAAAGUGGAAGAAGUUGGUAUUCAGAGAGUCAGGAGACAGUAGACAGAAGAGGGCCUGAUGGCUGCCUGUUUCUGAUUGGGAAGAGAAACUCCUGAAAGGGACAUCUCUGAAAAGGUGGAACUGAUUCUUCUGAUGCAGGCAUCACUGUGUCAUACUUGUUGCAAUGGCACAGCUCACCAACAUUAGCCUGCAAGACCAUUGUUACUGGAAAUGACCAACACUCACCGCAUCACUGCACUAGGCCUGGAUGUGUGAAUCAACUUGUUUAAGUCACAUGGAUGGUGAAAGAUUUAGGACUGGAGACCUGGUCUACCCAAAUUCAAAACUCUUUUCUCACUUCUGGGCAGAAAAGUGACUUAGGAGAGCUGUUGUAAAAGUGGGUGAUGCCCAGCUAAUGUCCCCAGAUGACACUUAAUGCAGAAAGAGGGGAUGCUGUUGAAGAGACGACACCAGGACAGGUGGAAGGUGUGAGUGUCCCAAUCCUGAGGCUCUCCAGAAGUCCUGACAUUACCAGAGGAAACAAGAGACAAGUUUUUGGUACCAAAGGAAAUGGUCAAUACUGAAAGCCAG